rnacentral:rRNA from 1 species
UGGGGAAUAUUGGACAAUGGGCGAAAGCCUGAUCCAGCCAUGCCGCGUGUGUGAAGAAGGUCUUCGGAUUGUAAAGCACUUUAAGUUGGGAGGAAGGGCAGUAAGUUAAUACCUUGCUGUUUUGACGUUACCAACAGAAUAAGCACCGGCUAACUUCGUGCCAGCAGCCGCGGUAAUACGAAGGGUGCAAGCGUUAAUCGGAAUUACUGGGCGUAAAGCGCGCGUAGGUGGUUCAGCAAGUUGGAUGUGAAAGCCCCGGGCUCAACCUGGGAAUUGCAUCCAAAACUACUGAGCUAGAGUACGGUAGAGGGUGGUGGAAUUUCCUGGUGUAGCAGUGAAAUGCGUAGAGAUCAGGAGGAACAUCCGUGGCGAAGGCGACUGCCUGGGCCAACACUGACACUGAGGCACGAAAGCGUGGGGAGCAAACAGGAUUAGAUACCCUGGUAGUCCACGCCCUAAACGAUGCGAACUGGAUGUUGGGUGCAAUUUGGCACGCAGUAUCGAAGCUAACGCGUUAAGUUCGCCGCCUGGGGAGUACGGUCGCAAGACUG